UCUUAUGGAUGAGUAAAGAAAAUCAUUUCUUGAGAUGGAAUCUACUCCUGGUGAAGAUGCUGUGAA
rnacentral:pre_miRNA from 1 species